rnacentral:rRNA from 1 species
GAUGAACGCUGGCGGCGUGCCUAAUACAUGCAAGUCGAGCGAACAGACGAGGAGCUUGCUCCUCUGACGUUAGCGGCGGACGGGUGAGUAACACGUGGAUAACCUACCUAUAAGACUGGGAUAACUUCGGGAAACCGGAGCUAAUACCGGAUAAUAUAUUGAACCGCAUGGUUCAAUAGUGAAAGACGGUUUUGCUGUCACUUAUAGAUGGAUCCGCGCCGCAUUAGCUAGUUGGUAAGGUAACGGCUUACCAAGGCAACGAUGCGUAGCCGACCUGAGAGGGUGAUCGGCCACACGGGAACUGAGACACGGUCCAGACUCCUACGGGAGGCAGCAGUAGGGAAUCUUCCGCAAUGGGCGAAAGCUUGACGGAGCAACGCCGCGUGAGUGAUGAAGGUCUUCGGAUCGUAAAACUCUGUUAUUAGGGAAGAACAAAUGUGGAAGUAACUAUGCACGUCUUGACGGUACCUAAUCAGAAAGCCACGGCUAACUACGUG